GCCGCAAUAGCUCAGCUGGUAGAGCACCUCAUUCGUAAUGAGGGGGUCGGGGGGUUCGAAUCCCUCUUGCGGCACCA
rnacentral:tRNA from 1 species